rnacentral:pre_miRNA from 1 species
AGCUUUUCAAAUCCAUGCAGAGAUUUCGUCGGACACCAACCCAUUAGGUGUGAUCAGACUCUCAAGGUAGAUAAAGCU